UCGUUUGAUUCCACUGCAACAAACCUAAAGCUGUGCUAUGUGUCACAACCGUACAGUAGUAAAUAGAGUCCGAUCAGAACUGCCAAACCUGUUUCUUUCUGUUGAGAGAGCUCGCUAGCGACAGCCUCCCGGCCUAGCCCACGUCCGGCAUCCAGUAGUGCCUAUUGCUUAACAUUGCAGCCACAGGAUGCCGCUGCUAUUGUUAAUCCACCAUUUUUUUUGAAUACUCAUAUUAUGUUGCUAUGUUAGCUGAAUCAAA
rnacentral:lncRNA from 1 species